GUUAGGAACAUUGCCAGAAUAGGGGGUGCCGACAUGCAGCUGCACGCAGAAAUGUCGGAAAGGUAUAUUCAGUAUACUCCCCGUCGCCAAAUUGGAGAUUGGAGAGCCGAGUGGUUCUACAUAGAUAAUCACUCUCCUGCUCUCCUCGAGAGAGCCAAAACAAGGAGGAAGAGGAUGAAUUGAUGAGAUAAAUUGCUGGUUUGAGAGAAAACAACGUGACUAGAGCGACAGUGAUGUUAGCUUGGCUCAGGAGAUAGAUUCAGCCAUUGCAGAGUCGCUGUAAUCUUGGUUUUGAGUAUACUGACCUGACAGAUCCAUCCCGGUUUUCUCACGAAAGGAUUUAUGAAGACGAAGCAAUGGAACAUAUUCAUAAUGUUCUUGAAGGAGUGAAAUCUGUUCCAAAGAUCCCUCAGUUAUAUCAUGUCAAGAAUCCUCCAAAUCUGGUGAUAAUCUGUUCCAUUGAGUAGUUAUAUCCUCUGACGUAAGCUGAUGACUGUUAUCUGUUUUGCAGGCUGAUUUGUUGGUGUUUCAAAGAGAUCCUCCUUUGCCUGAGAUUUUCCGACCAGUCGAUCUGAGACCCAGCUCUCACAACCAUUUACUCGUCGUAAUUUGGAUCCCAAUGUGACGGAAGCGCUAUCUGACUCUGACUCCGAUGAUCAUGUUACCCUUGCAGAAGUUUUGAAGGGUAAAACGGGAGGUGUCAAAUCUGAUAAACGUAGCAAGUUGCCUGAAGGGGAAGCUACGAGUAGUUGUCCCAAGAAGCCGAGGACAACUGUACACAAGAGAAAUGCCAGUGCCGUCGCCAGUCCUAAUGAGUCGCAAAACCAAAAGCGACGGACUGAAGAAAAAAUCACUGCGGCCACUGCCACACAAGGUGCCGAGAAGGUCUCUGAUGUGCAGGAGACAUCCAGGAGAGGGGCCGGCGCAAGAAGGUCAUCGUCGCAGGAAAUUCCCUCUGGCAAGCCCAUUGUGCCGUCAUAUAAUGGUUCUGUUAGACUGCCUGUUGCUCGACUACUUUAUAUAGAUGAACCAAUAUGUGCUUCUGGAGAAGUCACAAAGGAGGGGGAGUCAGAUGAUGACUUGAUAAAGUCCCUGCAAGCAUCGCCUCCUCCUUGCGAAUUUAAUCAUGGCGAUGAUCUCGAAGAUGAUCCAUAGCUGAUGUUUGAUAAUUUGAAGAAAUUCCAGGCGAAUAUCCCAAAUGACCAAUCGGUCAUCUCUGAAGUCAGAAGCUGAAGGAGACUGCUGCAGAUCGCCAGAGGAUCAAGUUGCUCAAAAAAGAGAAUGGCAUCCUGAGAAAGGACAAAACAUCUCUCGAGCGGAAAGUAGAAUUAUUAAAGGAAGUAAUCCAAAAGAAUCGAGAUGGGACUGAGAACCAUAAGAAAUCCUUAGAGGAGAUCCAGAAAGACCUGUGCAAGAGUGUGGAACAAUACAAAGCUGUUACUGCAGAGAAGGAUCUCCUGAAGGAAGAGCUAUUAGAGCACCGGACCGCUGCACAUGCUAUAGUCAACUUGGUCGAUCCAGUCGAAGAGGGUGUGCCAUUAAGACUUUGGUGGAGCGUCUACAUGAGGCUCCUCAAUAAAUUGCAGGCUACCUGACCGAGACCUCCAAGCAGUGUGUAGUGCAUGUCCUGGGACUUGUUAAGUCCUAUUGGCCAGAGGCGAAAGUAGCCCUUCUUGGUGACGGUAUGUCUGUCGAGUGUGAUGACGAUAAGUUCAUCAAGUAUGUAAAAGAGGCUGAGCUUGUGGCCAAACAAAUUGUAAAGAUGUUAGAGCAGUAACUAGAAUAGUAUGCUCGUGAUCUGUGUAAUUUUAACAUGUAUGCCUUUUGUGAUGUGACGUUGUUACUUUGAGAAAGUGU